rnacentral:rRNA from 1 species
UUACGGCCAUAUCAUGUUAAAACACCAGUUCUUGUAUGAUCACUGAAGUUAAGGAAUGUCGAGGCUGGUCAGUACCUAGAUGGGUUGCCACUUGAGAAUACCAGGUGCUGUAAG